GUCCCAGACUCCUACGGGAGGCAGCAGUGGGGAAUAUUGCGCAAUGGGCGAAACCCUGAUGCAGCAACGCCGCGUGAGUGAAGAAGUAUUUCGGUAUGUAAAGCUCUAUCAGCAGGGAAGAAAAUGACGGUACCUGAGUAAGAAGCCCCGGCUAACUACGUGCCAGCAGCCGCGGUAAUACGUAGGGGGCAAGCGUUAUCCGGAUUUACUGGGUGUAAAGGGAGCGUAGACGGCGAUACAAGUCUGAAGUGAAAGCCCGGGGCUCAACCCCGGGACUGCUUUGGAAACUGUGUUGCUGGAGUGCUGGAGAGGCAAGCGGAAUUCCUAGUGUAGCGGUGAAAUGCGUAGAUAUUAGGAGGAACACCAGUGGCGAAGGCGGCCUGCUGGACGAUGACUGACGUUGAGGCUCGAAAGCGUGGGGAGCAAACAGGAUUAGAUACCCCAGUA
rnacentral:rRNA from 1 species